GGCCGAGGACCGGAAGUGCUUCGGCGGCCUAGAACUUGGUUGGGGGCGUUGGCAGUUCGGCUCUUGGAAGACCCGCGCAAGACGGAUAAAAAAGGUUGAAAAGUCAUUUCAUUCUGCUCCCAUAUCAAGCUUCUGCACAGAACUGAACAGUGUGAACAAGUCUGGUGAUGAAGCACAGAUUAAAUCUUUAAAGUAUCUUAAUUUCACAGCCCUUCAACACAUAUAAUUUAUAUAUGAAGCACCAAAACUGGAGCCAAGGUCUGAACAGAUUAUACAUACACUGGAAAAGAAAUAGGGAAAAAGUAAUGAAGACAGAAAAACAGAGAAUUGAACAGUCACGUGGGAUAUUAGUUCCCUGACCAGGGAUCGAACCCGUGCCCCCAGCAGUGGAAGCUCGGAGUCUUAAACACUGGCCUAUCCAGGAAGUCCUCACAGGAUCUUUUUAUAAUGUAUUUGCAUCUCAGAAAUACCUGUGUCAUAUUACCUUGAUGUCAGCAACUGG